UGGAAAGAUGAAUCAAAGAAGGUAAUAAUCCUGUAGUCGAAAAUGUUGUCUCUCUUGAGUGGAUCCUGAGUACGACGGAGCACGUGAAAUUCCGUCGGAAUCUGGGAGGACCAUCUCCUAAGGCUAAAUACUCUCUAGUGACCGAUAGUGAACCAGUACCGUGAGGGAAAGGUGAAAAGCACCCCGGAAGGGGAGUGAAAUAGAACCUGAAACCGUGUGCUUACAAGUAGUCAGAGCCCGUUAAUGGGUGAUGGCGUGCCUUUUGUAGAAUGAACCGGCGAGUUACGAUUUGAUGCAAGGUUAAGCAGUAAAUGUGGAGCCGUAGCGAAAGCGAGUCUGAAUAGGGCGUUUAGUAUUUGGUCGUAGACCCGAAACCAGGUGAUCUACCCUUGGUCAGGUUGAAGUUCAGGUAACACUGAAUGGAGGACCGAACCGACUUACGUUGAAAAGUGAGCGGAUGAACUGAGGGUAGCGGAGAAAUUCCAAUCGAACCUGGAG
rnacentral:rRNA from 1 species